GUGAAAUGAUGAUGACGUUCAUCCAUUCUCCAAGCAUGCUGCCCUUUCUGUCCUCCUGGUGCUUUGAGACUCUUGUUCUGGGGGCUCUGAGCUAUGCAGCCACUACAUGACCUUCGGUCUUCCAGCAUUCUGUUGGGGACAAUGGGUGGGUGUGGGGCCUGUAAUCAGGAAUGGGACAGUGGCAGCCAAGUGGCGCCCCUUUUGUUUGGGGUUCCAUUGGGCUGAGACGAAGGCUGAUAGUCUGAUCAC